rnacentral:rRNA from 1 species
GUAGGUGGCAAGCGUUAUCCGGGAAUUAUUGGGCGUAAAGCGCGCGUAGGCGGUUUUUUAAGUCUGAUGUGAAAGCCCACGGGCUCAACCGUGGGAGGGUCAUUGGAAACUGGAAAACUUGAGUGCAGAAGAGGAAAGUGGAAUUCCAUGUGUAGCGGUGAAAUGCGCAGAGAUAUGGAGGAACACCAGAGGCGAAGGCGACUUUCUGGUCUGUAACUGACGCUGAUGUGCGAAAGCGUGGGGAUCAAACAGGAUUAGAUACCCUGGUAGUCCACGCCGUAAACGAUGAGUGCUAAGUGUUAGGGGGUUUCCGCCCCUUAGUGCUGCAGCUAACGCAUUAAGCACUCCGCCUGGGGAGUACGACCGCAAGGUUG